rfam:Neotoma lepida isolate 417 scaffold_3462, whole genome shotgun sequence.
GGAGAGGUGGCUCAGAGGUUAAAGAGCACUGACUGUUCUUCCAGAGGUCCUGAGUUCAAUUCCCAGCAACCCCA